AAGAGUAGUAGCGUAGAUGGGUGAGAAUCCCAUCCGCCGGAGGGGCUAGGGUUCCUCGACGAUGUUCAUCAGUCGAGGGUUAGUCGGUCCUAAGGUUCCCCCUAACAGGAGGAAUCGAAAGGGAAGCAGGUUAAAAUUCCUGCACCAAUUCAUAUUUUGUCCAGUUCCUGACACAUCGGGUCGUGUGGAGCACUCUUGUCGGAGUGUUGCCUUGAGCAAUAAAUUUGUGGAGUACCGUAAUGGUGAGAAGCAAACUAAGCUCUCGGGAGGCGGAGUAUUUCGCUUCUGCGUUAGCCUGGUGUCCGUGAAAAGGGAGCUGGAGCCGUAUGAGUUGUCCGUACCGAGAUCUGACACAGGUGCCCCUAGGUGAGUAGCCUAAGGCGUCGCGGCAGAAUCCGGGCGAGGGAAUUCGGCAAAUUAGCCCCGUACCUUUGGUAUAAGGGGUGCCAGCUCUGAAGAGAGCUGGUCGCAGUGACUAGGGAGCUCCGACUGUUUAUUAAAAACAUAGGGGACUGCCAGAUCGAAAGGUUGUGUAUAGUCCCUGAAUCCUGCUCAGUGCUGGUAUCUUAAAUCGGGUUUCAACCUGACGAAGGACCAGUAAACAGCGGGGGUAACUAUGACCCUCUUAAGGUAGCGUAAUACCUUGUCGCUUAAUUGGCGACUUGCAUGAAUGGUCCAACGAGGGCUCCACUGUCCCCGCGAUAUGUCCGGCGAAAUUGACUUUACUGGCGCACAGUCCAGUACAUUCUACCCGCAAGCGAAGACCCCAUAGAGCUUUACUGCAGCCUGUCGUUGUGGCACGAGUUGUUAUGUGUAGCGUAGACGGGAGACAUUACACAGGUGCGAGCGCUAGCUCGUCGCCGAGUCACCGAUGAAACACCGUCCUUUUCGAUUCGUCCCACUCACCUCUUAGGAGGAACCCCGGUAGGCGGGCAGUUUGGGUGGGGCGCCACUCCCUCGAAAAAAUAACAAGGGAGCCCAAAGGUCAGCUUAGGUAGGUCAGGAAUCUACCGUUAAGUGCAAGGGCAAAAGCUGGCUUGACGUGGUUUGGCAACACAACAAACCACGAUGUGAAAGCAGGGCCUAGCGAACCAACCAGCGCCGUUAGUAGGUGCGGUUGAUAACAGAAAAGUUACCCCGGGGAUAACUGAGUUGUCUGGAGCAAGAGCCCACAUCGACCUCCAGGCUUGCUACUUCGAUGUCGUCUCUUCCUAUCCUGGGUGUGCAGAAGCACCCAAGGGUGGGGUUGUUCGCCCAUUAAAAGGGAUCGUGAGAUGGGUUUAGACC
rnacentral:rRNA from 1 species